UGGGGAAUAUUGCACAAUGGGCGCAAGCCUGAUGCAGCCAUGCCGCGUGUGUGAAGAAGGCCUUCGGGUUGUAAAGCACUUUCAGCGAGGAGGAAGGUGGUGAGCUUAAUACGCUCAUCAAUUGACGUUACUCGCAGAAGAAGCACCGGCUAACUCCGUGCCAGCAGCCGCGGUAAUACGGAGGGUGCAAGCGUUAAUCGGAAUUACUGGGCGUAAAGCGCACGCAGGCGGUUUGUUAAGUCAGAUGUGAAAUCCCCGGGCUCAACCUGGGAACUGCAUUUGAAACUGGCAAGCUAGAGUCUCGUAGAGGGGGGUAGAAUUCCAGGUGUAGCGGUGAAAUGCGUAGAGAUCUGGAGGAAUACCGGUGGCGAAGGCGGCCCCCCUGGACGAAGACUGACGCUCAGGUGCGAAAGCGUGGGGCAGCAAACAGGAUUAGAUACCCUGGUAGUCCACGCUGUAAACGAUGUCGAUUUGGAGGUUGUGCCCUUGAGGCGUGGCUUCCGGAGCUAACG
rnacentral:rRNA from 1 species